GUGAGGAAUAUUGGUCAAUGGACGAGAGUCUGAACCAGCCAAGUCGCGUGAAGGAAGACGGUUCUAUGAAUUGUAAACUUCUUUUGUGCAGGAAUAAAGUGGGUUACGUGUAACCUUUUGUAUGUACUGUACGAAUAAGGAUCGGCUAACUCCGUGCCAGCAGCCGCGGUAAUACGGAGGAUCCGAGCGUUAUCCGGAUUUAUUGGGUUUAAAGGGUGCGUAGGUGGAUUGAUAAGUCAGCGGUGAAAGUUUGCAGCUUAACUGUAAAAUUGCCGUUGAAACUGUCGGUCUUGAGUGUAAAUGAGGUAGGCGGAAUGUGUUGUGUAGCGGUGAAAUGCUUAGAUAUAACACAGAACUCCGAUUGCGAAGGCAGCUUACUGGGAUGCAACUGACACUGAUGCACGAAAGCGUGGGUAUCAAACAGGAUUAGAAACCCUGGUAGUCC
rnacentral:rRNA from 1 species